rnacentral:lncRNA from 1 species
AUGCUUCUCCAUCUCUGCAUCAGCUGCCUGCUUCUGCCGCAGGGCCGCCUGCUCCGCCUGUGCCCGUCGUGCUGCCUCUUGUUCGGCUUCCUUGCGCAGCUUCUCUGCAGCCGCCUGCGCCUGAGCCCGGGCCUGUGCCUGCUCCUCUGCCUUUUUCGGCCUCUUCCACCGCCCGGACUGUGCCGCCUCCGCUCCGCCUGCACCUUCCUCCGCCUCCUCAGCCGCCCGGGCAGCCUCUGCUCGGCCGGUCCAGCCCUGCUGCAGCGUCUGCUGCAGCUCCUGCUCCUUCUGCUGCACCGCGAAGGCGUGCGCCUUCUCUUCUGCCUGCAGCCGCUUCUGGGCAGCCUCCUGGGCCAGCUGCAGCUGCAUCCUGCUCGCCUCCACCUUGCUUUCAGUCGCUCAACUUCCUCCAACGCCGCCUUCCGCUGCCGUGCGGCCUCUUCCUCGGCCGCCAGGCUCUUCUGCACGCGCUCCUCAGCCUCUUCCUCCUGCCUCUGCCGCUGCUGCUGCUCCAGCCUGCUCCUUGCUGCGCAGUGUGUCCUCCGCAUUGCUGCGGAUCAUCCAGCUCCAGGCCCGCCUUCUGGCUUCGCCUUCAGCGCCAGGAUCUCCUCCUCCACCUGCCGCCGCUGCCGCAGCGUGUCCUCCACCAGCCCCUUCUGCCGCUCCAGCUGGCUGUCCGGCGCCUUGCGCUGGGCCGGCUCCUCAAUAUCAGCCUUGUGUUGCGCCGCCUGCUCCUCCAGCCGCCGCCGCUGGAAGGCCUCGUCCUCCGCCAGCGCCGGCAUUCUCUGCCUCCUUCUCCUUGAGCGCGAUCUCUGCCUCCGUCUUGAGCCGCGUGGCCUCGCUGAUGGCGGCCAGCUUCUCCGAGCACCCGCUCCGCUUCGGCAGCUGCCGUGCUGCGUCUUCCUCGGCCAGCUGCCGCUGCCUUGGCCUCUUCCGCCAGGGCACGCGGCAGGCGGCCUCCUCGGCCAGCUUCGGAACCGGCCGGCCUCGGCCUCCAGCCUCUGCUUGGACUUCUCGCUGGUGGAACGUGACUCCUCCUCGGCCCUCGCCUUGCUGGCCAGCAGCACCUCCAUUUCGGCCCGGCCAGCUCGGCUUCCAGCUCCUGGCGUUUCGCGUGGCCGCCAGCGGGCCAGCUCCUCCUCCAGCAGCUGCGCUGCUGCUCCCCCUCGUCUCGGCCCGGCGGAUCAACUCCUGCUCACGGCGGCUUCCGCCAGCUGCCUGCUUCUCCAGUUCUUGUUCAGCCAGCUCCGCGCCGUUCUCCUCUGCCUUGCCCUUCUGCUUCUCGGCCUCAGCCUGUGCCAGGCUCUUCUGCUGCGCCACCUCCUCCGCCUGCAGCCGCGCGCCUUGAGCUGCCAGCGCUCCAGCUCCGCUCCGCCUCCUCCAGCCUCGGCCUCCCUGCUGCUGUGCCGCGCUCCAGCCUCCUCCGCCUUGCCUUUCCUCCUUCCUUGCUCC